rnacentral:lncRNA from 1 species
CUUCAUGCUCAGUUUGCUCACCACCUCUGGUAUCUUCUGUCCACUUUCAGUUUCUCUGUCGGUUGCGGCUGUCUUAAGUUUGGCAUGUCUUGCUUGGCUGGUGUAUCGUCGGAGGAGAAAAAUCAGAUCAACAAUCUCCAAAAUUUACUCUAGCAAUACAUCCAAUGUAGAAGAAAUGUUAAGAAAAUGUGGAUCUCUUUCUCUGAAGAAGUACAAGUACUCAGAGCUGAAGAAAAUAACGAGGUCAUUUGAGGACGAGCUAGGAGAAGGUGGAUAUGGUGUGGUAUACAAAGGAAGCCUGAAGGAUGGCAGAAUGGUUGCAGUGAAGCUCCUGAAAGGAUCAAAAGGCAAUGGAGAAGAUUUUCUGAAUGAAGUCAUGAGUAUCGGCCAGACUUCUCAUGUUAACAUUGUCAGCCUACUCGGUUUCUGUUUAGAGGGGUCUCAGCGAGCGCUUAUCUACGAAUAUAUGUCCAAUGGUUCUUUGCAGAAGCACAUUUAUUCAGAGAGUUCAAAAUUGGCCAUUGGAUGGGAGAUGUUCCUGAAGAUCGCGAUCGGUAUUGCACGAGGGUUGGAGUAUCUACACCAGGGUUGCAAUACCCGCAUCAUCCAUUUCGAUAUCAAGCCUAACAACAUCCUGCUAGAUCAUGAGUUCUCUCCCAAGAUUGCAGAUUUUGGUCUGGCAAAGCUAUUCCACCUCAAGGACAGCGUCCUUUCAAUGGCUGAAGCGAGAGGAACAAUUGGUUUCAUUGCCCCUGAAGUGUUCUCUAGAGGUUUCGGAGUUGUCUCGACAAAGUCAGAUGUUUAUAGCUACGGGAUGCUCCUCCUAGAAAUGGUCCAAGGGAAGAAAGAUCUGAAAAGAAAUGUAGGCAGCUCUAGUGAAACAUUUUUUCCACAUUGGGUUCAUGACCGUUUGGUGAGGGAUCUUCAGGGAUCUUGUGAAGUCACGCAAGGAACUGAAGAAAUUGUAAGGAAGAUGACCAUGAUUGGAUUGUGGUGCAUACAGAUGACCCCUGAAAACCGCCCUUCCAUGAGCAGGGUUAUAGAGAUGUUGGAGAGGAGCAUCAAUGAAUUGGAGAUGCCACCCAAGCCGUUCCUCUGCUCUCCGUUACACUCGACAAAUGUUUCAUCCUAUGCAUCCGUCCAAAUUGAGAUGUCUUCAUCAUGAUAUGGAUCAGGGAUUCAGGGCUAUGGUGCAUACACUAAUAACAAAUGUUUUAUCUUUUUCUAGCAGUUGCAAACCUGCAGCUCUUUUCAGUGCUAGAAUCUAAACCUCCUUGUAACUUCUGUAUUUAGAGAUGUACAAAUGUAAUUACCGUUCUGCAGAGUUGCCUUCCAACUGAUGUUAGGAUUUAUCAUAGGAUUUGAUCUUCGGAGUAAUUGCAAGUUACAACUAGUUUCUUAUCCAGAUGUAAUAAGUAAUGCCUCCCCCUCGUCCCAGGGCUUCUCUGAAUUUGAACCAUACAAUUGGUCAGGGAAGCCUCACAGUUUGGAGUUAAACUCUUUUAUAAGCGUUCAUCUUGUUCACUCCCAAUAUUCAAAAAGUGUUGAGUUAGGAUGAAUAUCAGUCGAAGGGAUUUGAAUGAGAAAAAUAAGAGAUCAUGGCCAAAAUAUCAUACCAGUGCGGCACAGGACAAGUUCGUCUUCUGGUCCUGCAAAAUAGUGCACAAGCACAUCACCCAGAAGAGUAUCUCGCUUGCCUCAAAGGCUGUUGGACAUGCCGAUCUGGUGGUUAGAGUUUUCCCAUCAAAUCUGCAUAGACGAGAGUCUGGUACCUGCAAAUUCAAGAUCAAGAAUCAGAAUGAAAGUGCUUUUAUUAAAGUCGAUGCAAAGACCAGCAGUCGAGGAAAAACCGGCAAUAAUUUCUUCAAGAUGAUUGAGGUGGUGUAGAUCUGCAUGCAUAAUAAUGACUAAUGAGAGUGAACAGGGUAAGGAACUAAGGACUCAUCGAUCAGGUGAGCAAUUUGUUCGUCAGCAGAAGCAGUGAGAAGGAGACACUGAAGAACAUUAAUUAACCGGAUAAACAAAAAAGGGGAAAGGCCUCGGCGACAUUGAAUCCAAGGCCCUGAAACACCAUUGAGAAGCACGACAGACUAGCCAGAAGAAUUAAGGUCGUCGAUCCACGGGACCCACCUUUGAGGGACUCCUUUAGCUUGAUGGAUGAGGCGGAGAGCUUCCCAGGAGAUAGAGUAAAAAGCCUAGUUUAAGGGCUAAAAGAGGUCAAUUUUCUCUUGUGGCACGAUUGAACAAUGUUGGUUUUGUACCUGAAAUACAUAUUAAUCGUGGAUUGCCGAACAUCUUAUGGAGCAAGAAAGGUUAGAAAAGUUGAGUGCACACGUUCUUGACCGGUAUUCAGUGCACACUCAAACCGUCGGUUGGUCACUGGGUUGUUCUCAUGUUUGUUGUGUCCUGUGAUGAUACAAAAGAAUUAACCGAAAGUACGUAAUUUGAACAUGCAAAGCUAAAGGCACAUAGUACUAUUCGGCUGAAAAACCUGAAGGGCAGAGAGACGAGCAGACGUGAUGCACAAGCAGUUCGAUCUGUGUCUCAACCCCACCACCCGUUCCGACGAGUUGCACCAACCUCCCCCCCCACUCUAAAUCUAAACUCGGGCACGUGGCUUUGAGAGCACACUUCAAAAGUCAACCUUAGUCCACUAUCGGUCGUCACAAUUAAUUGGUGGGACCAUAUUAGUCAAAUACUUUGUCCACCCAGUCAAAAAGAGAAACAUAAGGAUAAGAGCUCUAUUUAUUUCUUUAUUUGUUUUCACCUCAAAAGUCAGAGGGGCAGGUACUACUGAUGUAAGUUCUAACUACUGACUGCACCACUAAUUGCAGCAAGUUCUAAACUACUGACCAACUACGACAUACUCACUGCAUCAUGGAGCAUUAGCAUGUUAGUGGUGAAGGGUGGAAACCCUCUAAACAUCGUGCAUUAGUAGUAAAUAUAUUUAUGCAUGUACUUAUGUAGCUAGCCCUAGGAUGUCUGACUUAUUUAUGUCACUAUAUGGAGGGUGGAGCGGCCAAACAAACCUUGCAAUUAGUCGUAGCUUCUUGGCGGAACCUUGCAAUUAGCUUCUUGCCGGCUAUUUCGC